ACCAUAGCUCAGUUGGUAGAGCAAAGGACUUAAAAUCCUUGUGUCCCCGGUUCGAUUCCUGGUGGUA
rnacentral:tRNA from 1 species